UCCAAAGUUGUCUGGGCUGGGUCCCUCAGCCCAAUAGUUCGCUAGGGCGGUGCUCAGAUCAACACAAAUAAAAGAAGAAAACCCGUAUGCCGUGUAACUGGCUCGCUGACUAGCAGAAGGCUUUAUUCCUUUUCUUUUCUCGAAGAAUGGGAUAGCACAGCACUCCCUUCAACGGCUGCCCUCGGCAACCCACUGGUGACGGAUGGGAGCACACGGCUGCGGAAAUACAAAAAAAAAUCAUUGGAACUGCCAAGACUCUUUCCAACUCAGCUAGGUGGCUGGCGAAGGAAAUCGAAGACUGAGCAAAUAAUGGGUAUGGCUCGAGAGACCAAAUUGAGAAAG